rnacentral:lncRNA from 1 species
UCUUACUAGCUAUACCUUGGUCCUUGACUUAUCCAAAACACCCCUCUUGAGCCCUCUUUUCCUUUCCUAUAAAGUUGAUACACACUAAUUAAUAUAACACUUCAUGAUAUAAGAAUAUGAGAACAUAUACUUUGCUUCUUUAUGCUUAUUCUUUAGCUCUUCUAGCUCUUACUUUUUGCUUUUUAUGCUCAUUCUUAGCCCCCUUAACUCUUACUUUUAUUCUAUUCUUUUUUGCUCUUCUUAGAGUAAGCUAAGACUCCAUGUAAACUCUAAAAUUUUCAGUAAUUUGACUGUAUUUUAUUUUUAUCAUCUAUCCCAAAUUCAGCCAACACCAUAAUAUCAUCUAAUUGCGGAAACAAUUUAGACAGAUUUCAAUAAAAUCACCAGCAACACUGAUUCUUCAAUUCAAGUUCACAAUUCAUAUAUUUUAAUUCCCCCAGCACAUCAAGUCUUAUAAGUAUUAUACAUAAUUCAAUUUAAAUUCAGUUUAGGGUUGAAGUUCUUAGCUCAAUUAGUUGGAGGACUACAGCCACAAACACAGUCUUCUUUCCCUUCCUACCAUCAGCCAUCUCUUCUUCCAGAUUUGGUUAUCGAUAGAUCAUCUUCUUCUAGCUGAAUUCCCUCUUAAUUCCUGAUUGAGAAUACCAUCCUCUCUGGCCCUUUUCCCUUUCUAUCCUUCUGUUUUUACUAUAGAACUAAAAUAGCAACCAAGAGGCACCGGUGACUAAAACUUGAAAUACAAUAAAUUUAAGGGAGCUGUUUGCUAGGUGUCAAGCGCAGGAAAAACUAGCAAAACAAUAAUAUGCUGAGGUGUUGUCCGAAAGAGAUUUCAGCUGUCUCUGCAUGUGUUUUGUCUUUCUCAAUUAAAUUCAGCUGAACCAAGUAAGACAGGUGGCAGCACAAGGAAAAGACAAGUGGCAUAUCCAAAUUCUGCACAUCAAUGCAUCCAUGCAGAAAUCUGUCUCUCAUAUGGACUCACAAUACACCAAUGUAUAUACAUACUAAUUCAAAUAAUUCCAAUCUAAUUAAAUUCUUUAAUUUCAUCUCUUAUUACUUAUUUCUUUCAAUCCAAUUGAAAUUUGAUUGAUUUUGCACCUUCAAUUCUAUAUAAGCUAUGAAUUUUUUCAUCAACCCUAAGAUGAUUUUUUUUCCUUCGACUUACUAAACAAAUUCCAUCCCAAUUAUACUAUGUGCUAUGAUAUUUCUUACUAUUUCUUCAUUCUACUAAGGUCUCAAUGCUGUGAUAUAUGUUUCUUCCAAGGCCAUGAUACAAUUCUGUACUUUUUUUAUACACCACUCAAGUUUAACUUUUCACAAUCACUAAGCAAUUCUCGGCAACUCUUCCCCUCCAAUAAUAAAAUAUUCACUAGUCUUUUUAUUUUAUAUUUUCUGAAUCUAUACCACAAAACUACCAUAUAUAUCACCUAAGAUAUCCUUCUCAAUAUCAGCUCAUUCUAUUUUAAAUAGUUAUCAAAAAUUCAUCUUUAAUGUCACAAUUAUCAAUUCAAUCUCUUAAUCUCAAAGGUCAAACAAAUUUAUGCUUCAUUAAUGCUAAUCAAUUAAUAUUCAAAGACUCAAGUAUAUCCUGGACAAAAUGUUAUGCCAUAUAAAUAAAAGCUAACUUGAAUGCAAAUUUCUCAGACCAUCAAAUUUUGGGUUCGGGGUGUUCCAAUUCUCCCCUCCUUUAAAGAAUUUCAUCCCGAAAUUUUGUUACAUUUAAUCUGGAUAUUUGCCUUUUAUUUCAUCUCCUCUUUUCUAUGUGGCUUCUUUCAUACUGUGAUUCUACCAAAAAGUCUUAACCAAUGUUACAAUCCAAGAAUGCAACUAUUUUCUUUGUUUUACUCAAGAUAUACACUGGUUCCUCUGAAUAAGAUAAAUCUUCUUUUAAUUCAAUUAGUUUAGAUUGUAUAACAAGUGAUAUCCUAUGAGAUUGGCCAUCCCUAUAAACUCCUCUUGGUUUAUCCAGACUUCGAUCUCUAUCUCCCUCUAAUGAUUGUUCUCAACUAAGUCCUGAUCUUGUUUGUACAAUCUUUCUACAAAAUAUAGUUAAAACAAUCAAAUUCACUAUCCUCCAAGAUAAUUUGAUGAUGACCAAACAUUAAAACAUAGAUGUAUACUAUUAUCUCCCAAAUUCUUUCUAGAAAUAUUUUUAUAGAUAGAAAACAUCAUUAAAAUGAGAUUGGAACCAAUUAAGAACAUCUUGAAUAACUUAGACAUGAAUUGGAGACAAAUUCUAUAUAAAAAUAUUAUCUGAAGAAAUUGAGUCAACUCAAGAUAUAAUGGGGUCGACUCGAGCACAAUUCUGAGGCCAGCACACAAGGUUGGCAUGGCGUUGAGUCGACUCAAAAUCAAACCGAGUUGACUCUGCCAUAGAGAAUAGAAAACCAAUUUCGACGGCCUGAGACCAAGUUGACUCCAAAAAUUUUUGAGUUGACUCGAAGAGAAAAUGAGUCAACUCUUAGAGAAAUCGAGCAAACUCGGUCUCAGAAAACAAAAAUUACAAAAAGCCAUGUUUCUGCUACCAGAGAAUGAGUCAGCUCAAAAUAAAUCGAGUCGACUCAAAGACCACUCUUCCACUUUUUAAGCUAACUAACUAGAUAGCAUAACUUGUAAUUAAUUAUGCUAUGCAUAUGCCCAUGCAAUCUGCCACCUUUGCUUCGAUAGCAAUAAUUGUCAUAGCCCACUCCUUAAACUGAGUAAGGGUAUAACAGUUGAGUAGAAUUUUACUAGUACCUUAUACUGUAGUUCAUAAGCUACUAGCAAACCCUAUUUAUCUACCACAACCUGCUCAAAACAAUUUAAACAUAAUUCUUAAGCUAUCUCAAGAUAAUUCUAGUAACAACCUUCAACUUUUAUUCAUCAAUCCAUAGCUUUAUACAUAUCGCUUUAAAGAAAAGUACAUUUACAUUUUCUAAAUUGAACAACCCCAACAUAUAUCAUAACCCAACACGCUCCUCUCACUAGCUAAUAUGCCCAGAAAUGAGAUACUUCUCUCACUUAGCUGAUAUGCCAAACUUCUUCUAUAUGAGUGCAAAUGAUGAUGCUGAUGCUUUACUUCUAGCUUAGCUCAGAUGCUUUAAAUCUGUAAUAGAAAGAAGUGCGGGGGAUGAGACCUAAGUCCCAAUGAGUGAAUAAUUCAUCUAACUAUAAGGAAACAGAAAAGCUUAGCUUUAAUAUUCAACAUAACAUAUAGCUCAUACUACUGAUAUGCUUUCAAAACAUUUAUAUGCUAAACCUGAAUAAAACUAUGCCAUAAAUCAUUUAAAAAAAAAAUGCUGCUGGCUACUAUCGACUAUACCAUAGGGCACUACUCCCAUGGCAGCCGAUACAUCUCAACUUAUACUGCUAAGCUCCAUUGGGUAUGCUAAAUUUUUUACUAUUUUUUGAUAUUUGUGGUGCCAGCUACUGCUGUGUAAAUGUUGAUGCUGUGGCAUCUCUCAUAGGUUGAUCCCUCCUAUGGGUAGCACUUUUCAAAAACAUGCUUAAUAAAACUUCAAAUAUCGAUAUGCUGAUUCAAAGGGUGAUAUGCUAAUUUAAAAUAUUUCUUAAAGCAAAAUGCUAAGCUGUUCAAACCGAUACAUUCAUAUAUACAUUCAACAUUCAAUAAGAUAUCAUAUCAUAUCACUUCCUGUUUCCAAUGCUUGCAUAUAUACAAAUAAUUAAGCUGUAGAAUAACAAAAUAUAACUUUCUUUUUUAGAAGUAACUUCUUUCAUAGCAAAGUAUAAUGAAGAAAUUACCAAAGUCAAAUAGGAAAACCCACUCACCUCUUACUAGCUAUACCUUGGUCCUUGACUUAUCCAAAACACCCCUCUUGAGCCCUCUUUUCCUUUCCUAUAAAGUUGAUACACACUAAUUAAUAUAACACUUCAUGAUAUAAGAAUAUGAGAACAUAUAAUUUGCUUCUUUAUGCUUAUUCUUUAGCUCUUCUAGCUCUUACUUUUUGCUUUUUAUGCUCAUUCUUAGCCCCAUUAACUCUUACUUUUAUUCUAUUCUAUUUUGCUCUGCUUAGAGUAAGCUAAGACUCCAUGUAAACUCUAAAAUUUUCAGUAAUUUGACUGUAUUUUAUUUUUGUCAUUUAUCGCAAAUUCAGCCAAUACCAUAAUAUCAUCUAAUUGCGGAAACAAUUCAGACAUAUUUCAAUAAAAUCACCAGCAACACUGAUUCUUCAAUUCAAGUUCACAAUUCAUAUAUUUUAAUUCCCCCAGCACAUCAAGUCUUAUAAUUAUUAUACAUAAUUUGAAUUUAAAUUCAGUUAGGGUUGAAGUUCUUACCUCAAUUAGUUGGAGUACUACAGCCACAAACACAGUCUUCUUUCCCUUCCUACCAUCAGCCAUCUUUUCUUCCAGAUUUGGUUAUCGAUAGAUCAUCUUCUUCUAGCUGAAUUCCAUCUUAAUUCUUUACUGAAAAUACCAUCCUCUCCAGCCCUUUUCACUUUCUAUCCUUCUAUUUUUAGUACCGAACUAAAACAGCAACCAAGAGGUAUUGGUGACUAAAACUUGAAAUAUAAUAAAUUUAAGGGAGCUACUUGCUAGGUGUCAAGGACAGGGAAAACC